rnacentral:rRNA from 1 species
AUUGAACGCUGGCGGCAGGCCUAACACAUGCAAGUCGAGCGGAUCGCCGGCCGGGUGCGUAAUGCCUAGGACUCUGCCUGGUAGUGGUGGAUAACGUCCGGAAACGGGCGCUAAUACCGCAUCCUAUCACAUGAGCCUAGGUCGGAUUAGCUAGUUGGUGGGGUAAAGGCCUUACAAGGCGACGAUCCCUAUCUGGUCUGAGAGGAUGAGCAGUCACACUGGAACUGAGACACGGUCCAGACUCCUACGGGAGGCAGAAGUGGGGAAUAUUGGACAAUGGGCGAAAGCCUGAUCCAGCCAGGCCGCGGGUGUGAAGAAGGUCUUCGGGUUGUAAAGCACUUUAAGUUGGGAGGCGUUACCAACAGAAUAAGCACCGGCUAACUUCGUGCCAGCAGCCGCGGUAAUAA